AUAAUUACCGACCAUCAGGUAUUGUAAAUAGUUCAAGUAAGAAUGUGAAGUUAAUGAAUUUCUCACACUGUUCCUGGACAAGGUAAGUUAUUUAUCCAUAAUCUAUCCUUCGGACAAAAUAUUCUUACUUCUGAAUUUGGUAAUAGAUUAAUUCAUUCUAAAAUUAAGUAUAAAUUAUAUCCAAAAAUUAUUAACUCGACCAAUAGCCAUAUAAAUGCAAUAUAAUAUAUAAUUUAUUUUUCUUUAUUAUCAAUUUUUAUUUAUUUUGUGAUACUCUUAAAAAUUUAAACCUGUACAAAAACUGCUUUUAAUACUUAAUACUUGGAUAUAAUAUUAUUUUUGUGAUAAUAGCAUAAUUAAAUGGGAAUUUUUAUAUUUCAAAGUUGAUACUCGUGCAUUUUCGGACGGUCCCGAUUUCAGCGUUUAUAAGCUUAUUCUAUGAGAUACAUCUGGCUGUUAUCUCGCGGGGUCGAACUGCACGAUGCACUUGCACGAAUCCAACAAAUCCGACGCUACACCAUAAUUCCCCUCUCAUUCUACAGCUAAUACUACACGGUGCAGAAAAUCCAUAGAUAAUAAAAAUGGAUAAACCAUUUAACAACUAACCAUACCAUAUCAGUGUUUCAAGGACGGAUAUAGUACUACCAGUGGCGCACACCGGAGGGGUGAGUGGAGUCUGUGGUAACAACUAACACUUCUCAGAAAAUUGGUGGGUGCCUGGUGCCAGGUGAGUUA